AAAUGCGAUAAAUAAUGUGAAUUGCAGAAUUCAGUGAAUCAUCGAAUCUUUGAACGCACAUUGCGCCCGCCAGUAUUCUGGCGGGCAUGCCUGUUCGAGCGUCAUUUCAACCAUCAAGCCCCCGGCUUGUGUUGGGGACCUGCGGCUGCCCGCAGGCCCUGAAAAACAGUGGCGGGCUCGCUGUCACACCGAGCGUAGUAGCAUACAUUCUCGCUCAGGGCGUGCUGCGGGUUCCGGCCGUUAAACGACCUUCAUAACCCAAGGUUGACCUCGGAUCAGGUAGGAAGACCCGCUGAACUUAAGC
rnacentral:misc_RNA from 1 species